rnacentral:misc_RNA from 1 species
UCCGAGUUGACCCCGGCAGUCUCCUACGAGUCCCCGGCAUUACCCGCUGGCAACUAAAAGCAGGGGUUGCGCUCGUUGCGGCACUUAACCCAACAUCUCACGACACGAGCUGACGACAGCCACGCAGCACCUGUGGCGCACCCUCGAAGGUCACACGUUUCCGUGCGCUUGCAGCGCCAUGUCAAGCCCAGGUAAGGUUCUUCGCGUAGCAUCGAAUUAAAGAACAUGCUCCGCUGCUUGUGCGGGCCCCCGUCAAUUCCUUUGAGUUUUAGCCUUGCGGCCGUACUCCCCAGGCGGGGCGCUUAAUGCGUUAGCUGCGGCACGGAACCCAUGGAAUAGGCCCCACACCUAGCGCCCAACGUUUACGGUGUGGACUAC